GUGGGCUGUGACCCUGGACCUGUGAAAUGUAGGGAAGUGGAAGAGGGCCAAAAGUCACCCUUCGCUGAGAAGCAAGUUCGCUCUUGUCCCACAAGUUGCAGUCUUCUUCUCUGUAUCAUUCGUCAACUAAGGUGUUAAAUAUUUAUUGAGCACCUACUUUGGCAGAGACUUUGUGCAGAACACAGGGCAUCCUCAGGUGAGAUUAACAUUUAAGUCAGUGGACUUUGGAGCGAAGCAGAUUGCUUUCCAUAAUGUGCGUGGGCCUUAUACAAUCAGUUGAAGGCCCAAAUAGAAAAAGACUGACCUCCCCUGAAAAAAAAAAGGAAUUCUGCCAACAUACUGCCUCUGGACUUGAACUGCAACUCUUCCCUGGGCCUCCAGCCUGCUGGUUCACCCUGCAGAUUAUGGAUUUGCCAGCCUCCACAAUCAUGGUAUGUGUCAUACGUCUUUAAAAACUCCCGCCUCGGAAUUGGGUCUCUCUCAUAACAAGUGGAAGUGGGGAAAACUGGUCAAAAAAUCUAUGAGAAGAUAAGCAAGUUCAUUUUGAUCACUGUAUCUAAAAAGAUCUAAGAAGCAAAGGCAGUGAAAUGCUUUGAAAGUGAUCUCAAGGAGAAGACAAAUUCUGAGUGUAACAGUGAGAUUUCAAUGACAUGGAGAAGCUGGAGAGAUGGCUGAAAUCCACGGAUUGUGAAACCUCCCUCAAUCAACUUUCCUCAGACCUGGUGUAAGAGGAAUUCACUGCUGGGUCUUGAAGGCAUUGUCACAUCUGGCUGUGCCUGGAGAAAUAUCUGUGCUUCUAUGCUGCACAUCUUCUUGGGGAGCUAUUCCAUCUAAGCACUAGUUUAAAUGAACUGUCCAUAGCAAAAGCAACGUACAUAUCAUUGCUGAAUGUGGAAAAAGAAGGACUUAUGAAAAACAAGCACAGUGAGGAGGGGAGGAGGCCCAGGGGGAACCGAGCUUGCACAGGGUGGAUGGAUGGAGACUGUAACUUGAAGUUUCUCUUCCUCUUCAUGAGACGAGAUGAGAAAACUCAAGUUCAGAAACCUGAGCCUCUUUCUUGUGUUUGAGUGACGGGGACAGCAGUCCUGCAGGCAUUGUAACUUCCAGUGACAAGCGCCUACAGUCUAAGGUGGAAGAUGCAGCUCCUAGCAUUGGCUUCUCCAGCCAUCAGAGAUAUGGAUUUUGAAAAGAGACUUUGGAUACCUUCCUCUACAGCAUAAAAAGGCAGUCCUGGC